UUGUAUGGCAAGUUACAGAGCUCGCGGUAUUGCAGCACCAGAAUGUUCGAAUCGGUCUCUCGGUUGAGAACGAUAAGGGCUUUGGAACAUGGAAAACCUCUUCUCCUUCGUCUCUGCGUGUUUUCUGUAUCCGCGAUACCCAAGCUGCAGCUGUCACUGCUAAGUCAUGGGAUAAAUUGAUAUUAGGCAGUGAUACUCCUGUUCUUGUUGAAUUUCAUGCCACUUGGUGUGGCCCCUGCCAGAUGGUUCACCGGGUAAUUGAUGAGAUUGCAGGUGAGUAUUCAGGGAGACUUAAAUGCUAUGUACUGGACGCAGAUCGUGAACCAAAAGUUGCUGAGAACUAUGAUAUCAAGGCUGUCCCUGUGGUGUUACUGUUCAAGAAUGGGGAGAAAUUUGAGUCCGUUAUCGGAACAAUGUCCAAGGAGUUCUAUGUGGCUGCCAUUGAAAGACUUCUAUCUUCAUAGAUGUCAUGGUAGCAUGCAUAUGCACAAAUUGGAUAACUUGCUACUUCUACUUAAAAAUUAUCUUCCCCGGUAGUACCUUGUAAUUGCAUUUUCCUUUUCUAUGAAUCAUCCGCUCGUUUUCCUCAACAUUGAGAGCACUUCCUGCUUCUUUCUUCACAAUGAAAUUUGUAUAGGUCCGGUGGACUUGUGAAUAGUGACAGCAUUACUUAACUAAAAUUUCCAUUAUGUUUAAUAUCAUUCAAAAGAGCGGUACUAAGUCAAAGGCGUUUUAUUUCUUAACCAUAAUUAACUUAUACAUACUCUUUGCAUUAUUUUGUUACUUAUCUAUCGC
rnacentral:misc_RNA from 1 species